rnacentral:lncRNA from 1 species
CGUCGAAAGUGGCUUCCAGCAGAGGACACUUGGGAGGGACACAGCCACACCCAGGACCCAAGGCCCGAGAGUGGACCAGGAAGAACGUGUCAGAGGAUCUCUGCGCCGCAGCAUCUGGGUUGCAUCCUGUGAGAGACGCCGCGGGAGCCCAGCAGCACGGCGUUUUCUGAGUGUGGCCCCAUGGGCAGCAGCAGUGAGGCCUGCAGGGCGUGAGGGCCUCCCCUGCUGCUCCCCUGCCCUGUCACUCACCACAUCCCGCAUGUGGGGCCUCCCUGCUGGUGAUGAAACCUACCACACUUGGGCCACUGGUCAUGAUUCCUGCAAUAACCAGCUCCCUGAUAAUUAAGAUCUGUU